CUAUGGGAUGGUACCACCAACAUUUCAGGGCUCUCCACACUCUCCCAGACACACUGGUGUGUUACCACCCGCCCCCCAGCUCUUCUCAGUCCAGUCUAGUUGACAGUCAAGAUCAACCAUCAAAGGCCCUGAGCCAGAAGGGAAUUUUACUAGGCAUGGCCUUGUGGCUAUGGGCAACCUGCAGACUUGCCUCUUCUGUUGGGAUUUUGAGCUGUAGGAACCAAGAAAGAUGUCACAGUCAUGAUGGCUGCACGACAAACUUCUCCAAAGUUAGGACAACCCUGGCUCUGUAGGUUGGGAUGAAGCAGUGUUGUGACCUUUCUGCUCUGCACCAUGGGGAUAGGGACUGGGGGUUGCAGCCCUGAAAGCUGGGACUGUCUGAAGUUGGGCUGGUGUCCUGUGAACCCUGCAGUUGGUACUGGCCGCCCCAGGGGGUCUCAUCAGGCCCUCUCCUGUGGUCUCACUGCAGACCCUAGUGUGGACUCACACCCCACCCCCACACUCACCCGUGUCGCAGGGCUGCUGGUUCAAAAGGCUACAUGCCACUAGAGCGAGAGAAUUGAGGAGAAGCCAUGUUACCUUUUAAGACCCAAUCUUAGAAGUCACGUGCCCCUUUUACCUUUCCAGAGACAAGGUCAAGAGGAGUGGUCUGAAGGACACUUACAUUGUAAGGACAUUUGGAUAGACAUUAAGUUAGAACAUAUAACCUGCUAUGGCAUGUAGGUUUGCCGGCCAUUUUCCCUUCUCAAACAGACACGCCUAUCUAAAAAAUGACCCCCAACACCCAGAGCAACGACAAGGGUGGAUAGCAUCUUAGUCCCUGAAUCCAGUGGGACCUGAAUCCAGACUCAUGUGUGGCUUCCCUUCCAUUUAAUAAGCCAACAGAGGGGCUUUCGUUCUGAUUCCGUCAGUAGAGAGCUCGUCUGGUGUGCAUGAAGCCCUGGGUUCAAUGACCAACAGCUCACGAAAUGGUGUGUGGUGGUGCACAUCUGUGUGGUGAUGCACAUCUGUGUGGUGGUGCACAUCUGUAACCUCUGAACUCUCAGGAGGUGAAGGUGAGAGAAUCAGAAGCUUAAGGUAAUGCUCAGAUACAUAGAGGGCUUUUAUUUUGAUUCUUAUUUUAUUUUGUGGGUGUUGGUGUUUUGCCUGCAUGUAGGUCUGUGCACUGUGUAUGUCUGGUACCCACAGAGGCAGGAAAAGGGACUCAGAUCCCCUGGAACUAGAGUUAGAGGCAAUUGUGAGCUGCCAUGUGGGUGCUGGGAAUCGAACCCAAGUCCUCUGCAAGAGACUGGAGAGAUGGCUCAGCAGUUAAGAGCACUGACUACUCCUUCAGAGGGCCCAGGUUUGAUGCCCAGAACCCAUAUAAUACCUCACAGCUGGCUGUUACUCCAGUUCCAGGGGAUCUGAGACCCUCUACUGACCUCUAAGGGCACCAAGCACCCAUGUGGUGCACGGACAUACAUACAGGCAAAAUGCCCACACACACGACACAAAUCUUUUUAUUUUAAUCCCAGCACUCAGGAGGCAGAGGCAGGUGGACCUCUGUGAGUUUGAGGCCAGCCUGGACUAUGUGAGUUCCAGGACAGCCAGGGUUACAUAGUGAGGCUCUGUCUCAAAACAAAGAGCAGCUGCUGAGCCAUUACUCCAGCCCCAGAUCCAGGGAGUUAGAGACCUCCCAGGGCUUACGAGACCCUGUCUCAAAAGAGAGUGGGAGAGAGAGAGAGACAGAGACAGAGACAGACAGAGAGAGAGACAGAAAGAGGGACAGAGACAGAGAGACAGAAACAGAGAGAGACAGAGACAGAGAGAGACAGAGACACAGAGAAAGACACAGAGAGAGACAGAGAGAAACUUAAUAGACCAGUAAAAAUUACUUGGGGCUGUGAGUGUAGCUCAUUGGCAAAGUUUGUUGUUAGUGUGAUGGUACAAGUUCCUCUGAGUCCUCAAUUUUAAACACACACACACACACACACACACACACACACACACACACACACACACAGACAGAGAGAGAUUCAUGCUUAGUAGUUGCUGCCAUUGGCAUUCAGGAAAGUACUGAGUAAGGUCAGGCAUACACGGAGGUGCCCAGUUGGUACCAGGAUACUGGCUCAUGCUGUUAACCUUCCUUUGCUUGUGGAUUUUUUUUUUUUUUGAGAUAGGUUUAUUGUAGCCCAGGUUGGCCUUAAAUUCACUAUGCAGUCCAGACUGGCCUCCAACUUGUGAUCCAUCUGCCUCAGCCUCCUGAUUAUGGAUAUGUGCCACCAUGCCUAGUCUCACUGGUACUUUGAAGGGACAGCUUUCCUGUCCCUGACUAGCAGAUGCCUCCCCGGUGUGAACUGUCACUCCUUACAGAUACAAGCUUUUGAUCAGUCAGGUUUCAUUUAUUAUUCCUCAAUGUAUUCACUUAUUUAUGUGUGUUCUAUGGGGAACGACAUAGGCAUGCCAUGGUGCACAUGUGGGGGUCAGAGGCCAGCUGGAGGGCACUGGUUCCUUCCUCUCAACUUGUAGGUUCCAGGGAUUGAACUCAGACCGUCAAGCUUGGCAGCAAGCGCCUUACCUGCGGGGCCAUCUUGCUAGCCCUUCAUGAGGUUUUUAGUGCCCAGAACAUUUCCUUCUUGCACAGCAUCCAUCUACAGCCUCUGGGUGGUGCUGGGAAGUGGCCUGGUGCAAGGGUGGGCAGCUCUAGGCUGGAACGUUCCUCCAGACCCAGACCCAGGAGUAGCAAGUCUACAGGGCUGACAUGCAUUCCAUGCUGGCAUCCACCUGCUGACGGACAACAGUCCUGCAAAAGAGGUCUCAUCCCUCUGUCACACAGGAGGAGGCAAGGGUGGUGGUUUAUCUUGGUUGUCAGCCUGAUAUCAGCCUGGCAACGGGGACCCUCAGUUGAGUAACUGGCUCUAUCAGAUUGCCUGCGGGCAUAUCUGUGAGGCAUUUUCUUGAUUGUUAAUUGAUCCAGAAGCGUUCGGCCCACUGUGAGUGGUGCCAGCCCUAGGCAGGCGGGUCUGGGGUGUGUAUAAAAAAAGUAGCUGAGCAGGCCUUCUGUGUUUUCUGCUUCAAGCGUCUGUGCUGAGUUCCUGCCUUGACUUCUUUUGAUGAUGAACUGUAAUAUGUAAGCUAAAAUAAACCCUUUCCUCCCCGAGUUGCUUUUGGUCAUGGUUUUUUUUUGUUUUUUUUUUUUAAUCACAGAUCAAACCAGAACAUGGAGGCAGAUACAAAGUGGUACAGCAUAUCCAGGAGACACAACUGAGAAGCUGUGAAGCCAGGCGUGAGGCCAGACUUCCUUCAUACCAGGCCCAAGGAGCCUGAAGGGGCACGGGGGGUGGGGGGGGGGGAAUGGAGACCAGGGAAGAGAAGCGGUGGGUGGUGAUGUACAGUUAGGAGGGGGUGCUCAGCGGGAGGAGGGGAGGGGCUUGGCUUCUGGUGAGUCCAGCCUAGCCAGCUGAGAUGGGAUUGAGUGGCUGCAGACCGCCCCCCUGCCAGUCUCUUGGCUGGGUGGCCACAGUGAGUCACACUCCCCGUGCCUGCCUGGCCCCCCUUCUGCCUGGUCCUCAGUCUCAUGAUUCAAAGAAACAAUGUGUCUGAGGUUGCAGGAUCUGGGAGGGAGCCCUGAUCAGGGUGCCUAGGGAUGGAAACCUGGCUCUCUCCAGGGAGGACCCUGGUGGCCUUAGCAUUGGGAGAGCCUUGCGUGCACAGAGGUCUGACUGAGCUCUUUGUAAAAUGCAAGAGCCUGGAGGAAGCGGAAUCCCCCUAUGGCCUGCAUACCCCACCCCACCCCCACUCCCAGAGUCACUCCCCUGCAGCCUUCCUGCGACCUAGUUGUCACCUUCCCAUUGACAAGCCACUGUCCUAGCCCCAUCCCGGCUAGCCAGGGUCUGCUUCUGUUAUUACAGCCUCAGAGUCCCACAACUGCCGAGGUUCAAGGAGUGGGCCUUCAGUCUUAGGGAGGGGGCCCCGACUCCCGUGGUGCCAGUACAGACAAAGGAGGUCCACGCUGGAGGGAUCCAGCAAGGGAGGCAGCACCCUGUGCAGUCUGCAGGGAGGGUGCUCUUGAGUGGGGUGGGGCCACAUGUGUCAGAGCUGCUGAGACGCCAGGCAGGAUGUGAUUAACGUUGCAGUGGGUGUGACAGCCCUCCCGCCUGCCAGCCCCCAAGCCCAUUGUUCAGCAGCCCGGCAGCCCCCUUUCCUUUGCCCCACCCUGCUGCAGCAUGCCCAGCCCCUGCGUGUCAGGUCCCCUCUGCUCCCUACCCAGCACUUAUCCACGGUGCCAGCCCCCUAAAAAUAGCAGCCUGCCUGAAAUGUAGGCCUGAGGCGGAACUCCACAAGAGGAGGCGGCCUCCCCCGUGUGCCUUGGCGCAGGCCAUUCAUGAGCUGUCCACCCAGAAACUGAGCUGAGGGUCUGCCUCCACGUCUGCUCUAAACAGAAGGAAAGCCAUCCCAGGGCUUCUGCUGACGGCUUGGAAACGGACUCUGCUUCUGCCUUUCCAGGGACACUCAUUUCUCUCCAGGCUCGCCGUAUCCUACUGGGUUCAGCCUUGGCAUGCAAUAGGAAGGAGGGAGACCGGCCGUGACUAGACAGAGAGCUUGGGGUCCUGCACCUCUCUACCUCACCUUCGUCCCACUGUUUGGUCCUGGAACCCUCUGAUCACGUCUUGUUGGCAUCAUUGAAAAUAGCAGAAAAAAAAAGGAACUGGAGAGAUGGCUCAGUGAUUAAGAGCACUGGCUGCUCUUGCAGAGGAGGGGUUCGAUUCCUAGCACCCACGUUGUGGCUCACAACUGUCAGUAGCUCCAGUCCUAGGGGAUUCAUACAUUUUCUGGUCUCCAUAGGUAUGGCACACACAUAGUUCACAGACAUACAUUCAGGGCAAAUACUCACAUACACAAAAUAAUUUAGAUUAAGAAAAAUUAGCAGCAGAAGAGCUGAGCAUGGUGAUAUACACCUUUAAUCUCAGCACGUGGGAGUUAGAGGUGGGCAGACCUCUGUGAGUUUAAUUUAUAUAUAUAUAUAUAUGUAAUCUCAGAAGAAUGCUGGAGACUGGAGUGGGCUGCGGUGGGUGUGACGAGGCACUGAGGAGUCCUGUGUGACCUCCGGAAGCAUCUUCAUCUCAUCUCUGCCUUAGAUGCUGUCACACGCUAGUCAUGUCACUGAGUUGGUAAGUCCCAUUUUAGAGGGAGGAGAAGAAAUGGGUGGGAUGUAUCCUCUGAGGCUCAUUCUGUAAAACAUCUGUGAGCCUGGUGUGUUGAUGUACCCGAGCACUUGGGAGAUAGAGGCAGGAGGAUGGUGAGUUUGAGGCCAGUCUGGGUUAUAUGGUGAGUUCCGGGACAUUGCUCAAACAAAAACCAGAAACAAAACCCUACAAACUAUGACAAGCAGGGCGAGGUCUCUCACCAGUUAAUCCCAGCACUCUAGAGGUGCAGUUAAAAGGGUCAGGAGUUCAAGCUCAUCCUUGACCAUACAGCAAGGCCCAAUUUCUAAAUAAAAACCUACCAGCAAACAACAAACACGCCUUUGUUUCAUAAAUAUCAAACUGAAAAGUACAUGCAGUGGUAAACUGUGGUAACUUGGGUAUAUACACUUUUUAAAGAUUCACGUGUUUGGAUGUUUUGCCAGCUGUGUGUCUGUACACCACAUGUGUGCCUGGUGCCCUCAGAGGCCAGAGGAGGGUUCAGAUUUUCUGAAACCGGAGUUACAGCAGUUGCACAUGGUUAUGAAUCACCAUGUAGAUUCUGAGAGGGGGAGGGGAAGAGGGAGAAGGAGGGAGCAAGAGAGGAAAGGAAGAAGGGAGGAAGGGAGGAAGGGUUGUAGGGACAGAGAUUUGAGACAGGGUAGGAUUAUUUUAUUUUAUUCAGACAGGGUCUCACUGUGUCACCCAGUGUGGUGGUUUGAAAGAAAAUGGUCCCCAAAGGAAGUGGCAUUAUUAGGAAACGUGGCUUUGUUGGAGUGGGUGUGGCUUUGUUGGAGAAAGUGUCACUGUAGGGUUGGGCUUUGCGGUCUUAUAUAUGCUCAAGCCACGCCUAGUGUCUCAGACCACUUCCUGUUGCCUUCAGAUCAAGAUAUAGAAUUCUCAGCUACUUCUCCAGAACCAUGUCUGCCUGCAUACCACCAUACUCCCAGCUGCCAUGCUUCCCACCAUGAUGAUAAUGGAUAAACCUCUAAAACUAGCUGAGGACCAAACCCAGGGCCUUGCGCUUUGUCUACCACUGAGCUAAAUCCCCAAACCGUGACCCAAGUUUGAUCCCUGAAGCCCACAUAAAUGUGGAAGAAAACCUGACUCCACAGAGUUGUCCUCCGACCUCCACGUGUGCGGUGGCACAUGCUCCCUGCCUAAGAACAAAUACAAUUUUUAUUACUUAUUUUUAAUUUUUUAAGAUCACAGUUCAACUUGGAGUGAAAAGAGCAUCCAAGAAAAGUGCCUGCUGUCAGUCAUGUUGCUGUGCUGUGUUUCGUGACACCAAACAGCCCCUGUGGCUUGAGCGGGUCAGCAGAGACAUCAAGCAUCUAGUGUUGGGCACAGAGGUCUGCACUGUGGCAGAGCAGGGCGAAUGAGGGGUGGGUACUCAGUGCACACUAGGGCUGGAGCAGGCCCUGCACUGGCUUGAGGCUGAGCUGCUUUGGCCCAAAGGAGCCACCGAGGGACAGCUGGGAGCCUUCCAGAAGCAGGCAGUGCGGGCUCACUUCCUGGAACUCAGCUGAGCCUUUUUCUCUAGGAGACCCCAGACGUUGUCCAAAUAAACAAAAGGCUGCUGGGAAACGCUGGCCAGGAGGUCAGGGAGGCUGGUGCUGCCGUGGGGUGGGGGGUGGGGGGGAGGAAGUCACUGGUUCCCGGGAUCCUGGGAUUGUGGGCUGUGGGCUCUGUGGCUAGCAGCUGGCUCCUGGAGUCUAGGCUCUUUGCAACAAACAGCCCAUGUGCUGGCAGGCCUGUCCCUACCACAUAGACCCAGGGGGGUGAGGCACUGGGGACCAUGGCUUGUACCAGGCUGAACACAGCCGCUCAUGUCCAUUCUUUAAAUUCCCCUGGUCCUUCAGCCUCUUGUGAAAGUUCCAGACUCUUGGGCCUUAGAAAGACUGGGGCUCAGGGGGUGACUGUCCAUAAAGUGUUGCCCUUCAAUACACCGGGACCUGAGUUUGAGCCCCAUAACCACAUUAAAAUAAAUAAAUAGAUAGAUAAAUAACAUAUGCUGGGUAUAAUAGCCUACACUUGUAAUCCUAGCACCAGGAGGCAGAAACAAGCAGAUCUCUAAGGCUCUCUGGCCAGCUGGCCUAACCUAUAACAAGCUCCACACCAGUGAGACCCUGUCUCAACUACAACAGAAAAGUCUGGAAGGUGCCUGAGGAAUAAUUCCUGAGGUUGACUUCUAGCCUCCAGAAGACAGAAGGCAGACACCACACACACACACACACACACACACACACACACACACACACACACACAAUUAACAGGUGCAGAUGUAUAUAAAUGCAAAGAGGUUUUCAUCUGGACAUCAGGAAUGCCAUCAGCCAAUUAAAACCGCUCACUUCCCCUGUAUCUGUGGAUGCUGGGAGGAAAUUUUCUCCAUUAGUUUCUCUUAAAAACGACCCAGACUCAUACCUUCCCUGGAGCUAUAUGGCACAUUCAGAACCAGGAUUCUAAGUAGAGGUCUGAGGGGCCAGGACUGCCCUGUAGUGUCUGGCUACUGGGAGAUGAAGAUUCCCUCCAGCCAACCUUGACACCUACGAACCACCCAGAAGAGAGUGAUAGAGAGAGAAUGAGUCACUUUGUGUUGUAACAUACCCAUAAGACUGAAUAAAACCAACACUAAACAUGCAAGUCCUUGUCUACCCACAAGACUCAUCCAGAGCUCUGUCUCUUGUCAGCCACUGUGUGUGUGUCCCAGCACACUGCAUGCUAUGUGCACCUGGUCCCCAACUUCCCAGCACACUGCAUGCUGUGUGCACCUGGUCCCCAACUUCCCAGCACACUGCAUGCUGUGUGCACCUGGUCCCCAACUUCCCAGCACACUGCAUGCUGUGUGCACCUGGUCCCCAACUUCUCAGCACACUGCGUGCUGUCUGCACAUGGUCCCCAACUUAUGUAACUUCCACUUUGAGGUGGUGUGAGAGCAAGCCCCACUUCUUGGAAGCUGUUUUUGUAGUCUUACACUUGACUUUCCUCCAGAUGAGCGCUACACCAUAGGAAGAUCCUCUCAGGUGGUGCUGGACAGGGACAACAAGGGAGAGAAACCCAUGUGCUGUGCUUGCCCAGCAGUCUAGCAGAUUCAGUGUACCGGGCCAUUUUCAGUUCAGUGUAUGAAUUCAAGUAUGGCUUGUUGUGACAAAGCAUUGUGACAAAGUUCAUCUAGGAGUACCCAAAAUCAGUUUGGGUUUUCUCAACAGGUACUACACGCUAACUUGUGGGGUUUGCUUGUGUGUGUGUGUGUGUGUGUGUGUGUGUGUGUGUGUGUGUGUGUGUGUGUUCCUGUUGCCAUAAUAAAUCACCCCAACAAAACAACUUACGUGGGGGAAGGGUUUAUUCUGGUUCCGAGGUCAAAGUUACAGUCUAUCACGGCAGGGAAGACAAGGUAGCAGGGGUGUGAGGCAGCUGGGCAUAUCACACCCACAGUCAAGAAGCAGAAAGAGCACAGUCAGGAGCAGAAAAAUGCUGUGCAGCUGGCUUCCUCCAUGUCAUACAGUCCAGGAUCCCUACCCAGGGAAUGGUCCUGUCUAGUCAAGAAGGCUCUUCCACAUUAAUUAAUAUAUAAUCGAGACAAUCCCCUACAGGCAUGUUCAGAGGCCUGUCUCCCAGGUGGUUUUAGAUUCUCUCCAGUUGUCAGGUGACACUAGCCAUCAGUCAACAAAUGAGAUUUAAGCAGAAAUCUCUUAGAUGGUCGCUCAGGGGAAGGCAAAUGGGUUUGUUUUUUAGCUCUGUAAGGAGGUAUUACAUCUUUGCCUCCUGGUCCUGCAUUGACUGCACAGUGUGAUGCCUGGAGCUAUGGCGGCCAUAUUGGUAUUAGAGAAAAGACCCGAAGACUUGUGAACACUGUCCUUGACAUAAGUGACCAGCACUAGGCUUCCUGUCCUGUGAGAAAAUAAACUCCAUGUUGAUGUCA